rnacentral:lncRNA from 1 species
AUAGUCACGUGGCCCAUAUGGGAGGCGGCAGAGAAAUGGGCAGGGAAAAUGCCUCCCUAGUUCCCAGACCUGGAGGUGGACUGAGAACCAGCCACAGCUUAGUGCAUUUGCGGGGAACUGAAAACUGCACAUAACACAAUCACAACGGACAUGGAACCCGGUACCGCUGCCAAAGAUCGAGCCAGACCUGACUGUUGCUAUGGAAAGCCCUCCAAGCUAUGCUUAAGUGACCCUGGCCAAGAUCCUCACCUCUCUAAUCUCGGUGACCUCUUCUGCAAAAUGAACUGCUGGGAGGAAUAAAUGAGACACUGCAUGAAACACGCUUGGCACACACAAAGGACCAAGGCAUCAGCCAGCAGCUGGAGACCCAGUUCUGCUGAGUGGCUCUUUCUCCUGGCCCCUCCUGGGCCCUCUGGUCCUGAUCCUACUCUGCUUCUUCAGGAACCACUUUGGACACUUCCUGGAAGAGAAGUAUCCUUCCAAUUGCUAAACAACACCGUGACAUCUGCAGGCCUCUCAGCCCAAAGGUUUGAUUUUCUGAGAAAUUCACUCUGGUGUCUUGGGAAGCUGACUGGCUGCACUGGUUGGCUGCUAUUUCUGGAAGCGUCAGCUAUGAUCAUCCCAAAGCUUUCAUAGUGAGCCACAUGCUUGACUCGUAAGUGCUUUAGGUCAUGAGUUCAAGGAGUGUCUGCCUCUUUCCACGGAGAAUCUCUAGUCAGUGGAAGGGGUACGGAACCCAUCUGCAAAUAAAAAGACAGAGACAAUUAAAAAAAUAAAAGAA